UACGUAGGCAGCGAGCGUUGUUCGGAGUUACUGGGCGUAAAGCGUGCGUAGGCGGUGCUCUAAGUCUGUUGUGAAAUCUCCCGGCUUAACUGGGAGGGUGCGGCGGGAAACUGGGGUGCUGGAGUGCGGGAGAGGUAAGCGGAAUUCCCGGUGUAGCGGUGAAAUGCGCAGAUAUCGGGAGGAACACCAGUGGCGAAGGCGGCACUCUGGGCCAGUAUUGACGCUGAGGAGCGAAAGCGUGGGGAGCAGAG
rnacentral:rRNA from 1 species